UUAAAGCUCCUUCUGGGGAGUCAAAGAAAUUACAGAGGAACUCUCGAGUCUGAAAGGCUUCCCUGGGUCCUCUGUUACCCCCCAUGUGUCUGACACUUUGCAGACCAUGUUCUCCAUCCCUUUGACCCUCUACCAUAUCUCUGUUCUUAGGCUUGAUCAGAUAAUUAUGUAGCACACAUGCUGCCAUGACUACCAUGUCUAUAUGACACGGCAGCAUGGAUAUUCUUGACAAAAAAAACCUCCAUCUGGCCGCAAGAAUGCCAAAGGCACACUCCACUGUCAUGCGAGCUCUUGACAGCCUGUAGUUAAAGUGACUAUUAUGCCUUGACAGGUUGCUGCCAGGGUAGGGUCGCAUCAGGUACCGCUUCAAGGGAAACGCAGCAUCACCUACCAUCAUGUAUGGCACGUCACCUUGCUGACCAUAACCUGGCAGGGGGGUGUCUUCUGGCACAUUCAAAGUCUUUUCACUCAUUCCCCUCCCCAGUGCUGAAUGAGCGAACACCCCACCAUCACUUGCACGGCCAAAAUCGCCAACUUGUAUGAUUAUACAUUUUUGAGUCCGCAUCCACCAGGGCCAACAAGAUUAUUGAAAAUGUUUUUUUAUAAUUAAAAAACUGGCUGCAUGAUUUUUUGGGUGCUUGAAUUUGAAUGUGCUUCCCGUCGAUGGCCCCAAUGCAAUUUGGAAACUGCCAUCUUCUCCAAAAGCGCUCUGCGAUAGCUGUCCAUGAUUCCUCCGUUGGUUUCGGCAUUUGGGUCUCCAUCAUGUGAUCGACAACUGCCCUACAGGUCAUGUGAACGGAGUCUGCCACUGUUUUUCUGCCCAGCCUGUAGGCAAGAGCCAGACUCCUGAAAGACUCUCCGGUGGCAAGGAAUCUGUAGGAAAAUAUAUAAUUUGUUAACUGGUGUACAACAUACAUGAGUUAUUGUUACUUUAAAGAAAAAAAUCUGUUAUUCAAUUAUCUGGCAAUUUAUGUCAACAGUUGUGAAGUGCCAAGGUCGCUGGAGGACCUAAGGGACCAAUUUUCCAAAAACAAAACAAAAGGAGUGGAAAUACACCCAAGCCCUGUCUUUUCUUAUUCCCCACCUUCAACCCAGGAGCUCUAGAAGCAACCUAGACCAAGUUGAAGAUUGGGAGGCAUUGGACCUGAGCCAUGGAGAGGAUGUGCGGGAGGAGAAUGACCAUCAACCAGAUCAGCAUUCUCAACCUGGUUCUUCAACCAACAGGCCCUACAGCAGACCUGCUGCACGAAAGAGGGCCUCAGCACCUUUGGAGUCUUUGGAGGAUAGGCUGCUGGCUAUGGUCCAGGAGCCUCCACAGCACAUGCACCAUCGUGUGCCACAGGAGGAGGAUGAGAUGUUACAUUUUGCCCUCAGUCUGGUGCCCUUGCUGAACAAAUUAAGUGGCUGGGGUAAGCUGAGGGCAAAGAUUGCUCUUUUAGAAGGGCUCCAGGGUGUCCAUGAUCUGGACCAAGGGCACCAGCAGGCACAGAUGCAGGGCCCUGGUCUAAUUAGGCCAUGGGAUCAGACAUCCCAGCCAUCCCACCAGAGCCACCAGCCAUCCCACCAGAGCCGCCAGCCAUCCCACCAGAGCCGCCAACCCCAACUAUUAUAUGCACCACCCUCACAUGCACAGGCACAGAGGUACAGACCAAGUGAGGAGACUUGGGGGGAAUGUGGUGAGAGUACUGUGCCCUCACCCAUUCCUCACUACACAGACUUAUAGUGUAUUAAUAGUGCAAUAAAUUGUCUAUUUAAAUCAAUAUUUCCUUCGUGUUUCUCUGUAACUUGUCAACACCUAAGCCCAUGCAGUUUGUCUGAAAUUGAUGGAGUAAGUUAAGGCGGUGCAAUGCCCCCCUGGGCCUUGAGCCUCCAAAUAGAGGCCCAUUGAGGACCACCCUGCUCUCUCCCCAAAACCAUAAUAAUCAUUGCAAAAGCUUGUGUGUUGGCCUACCUCAGUGUAACCACAAGUCUUUGCUUGGGUUCGACUGCCAGUCUGUAAUUGGUGUCCUGUCGCUGGAGAUCUGCACCAAUCACUGACAGGAUGUGGUCCAUCUGCGUUGGUGUCAUACGAAAAUACGAUCGAUGGGUUGCAGCGUUAAAACGCAACUCCUCCGCCAGGUUGUAAAAUACCCCUUGCUGUCGCCUGCGCUGGUUGAUUGCAGUCACCCAGGUCCGUUUCCUCUUUUUAAUCCUUUGGAGGAUAACAAGUAAGGCAAGUGCCUUCCUCCUUUUCACUGUAGGCACUGUAAAACAACUCUCUUGUGGUUAGAUUGCACAUCUGUCAUCUAUGCUAGACUAUCUGCAACUAGCCUGUCUGUCAUUAACAAAUUAAUCAGUUAGUUAGUAUCACACAAACAUACGUUUAAAACAACUCUGUAGAGGUUAGAUUAUUCACAGCUUUUCAUCUAUGCUAAUAUGUCUGCAACUAGACUGUCUGCAAUACCGAAGUUUUACAUAACUUGCUAUAUAUCAAACCUACUUAGUCAGACUAAUAUUAUAUUGAUCUUUGACGUGGAAGCUGGUUACCCUAGCUAUUUCAUUUGCAACUAGUUCGUUUGUAUCAAAUUAGUUAGUUGGUCACUUACCAACGUAACUUUGUAUCAAUGGUUUAUGGUUUAUGUCCGUUGAUGGUUGCUUGGUAACUAUGUCUAGCUCAAAUUUAACCUUAUACGAAUGUAGUUUGAUUUACGGGUUGCUGUAGACUUAAUACUUACCCAUGUUACUCUGUUCCAGAUGAACUGGUGCCGAUGAACUGUGGUUUAUAAAAUAUAUAAACACAGAUCAAAAAAGAUAAAGGAGCCAUUUUUAACGCGUCCAGUGUAGCCGGUUAAUUUAAAAUUUCCGCUUGGUGAACGUUCUAUUUGCGCACGGCAGAAUUUCCGCGUCUGGUUUAGCCGUAGCGUCAGAGUUUGUUUUGGGAGAUCUGUAAGGAGACCAUUGCAGUAAUCAAGCUUACUAGUGAUUAAGGCAUGUACAAGUUUUUCUAAGUCUUCGGUGGACAUGAGCCCUCUAAGUCUUGCUACAUUUUUAAGGUGAUAAUAUGCCGAUUUUGUAACUGAUUUGAUAUGACUGUCGAAAUGUAAAUCUGAAUCCAUGAUAACCCCUAGAUUGCUGGCUUUGAUUGAGGUUUUCAGGGACAGAGAGUGAAGGUGUGGGUUACUUUAAGCCUUUCCAUUUUAGAGCCAAAUACAAUUAUCUCUGUUUUGUCCUCAUUUAGUUGAAGGAAAUUUCGGCACAUCCAUUCUUUCACUUGCUCAAUGCACUGGCACAGCAGAUCUAUGGGCCGAUAGUCAUUUGGUGAUAGCGAUUCAUAGAUUUGCGUGUCAUCAGCAUAGCAAUGAUGGUCAAUAUUGUUAUUUUGCAUGAUUUGCCCUAGUGGGAGCAUGUAGAUGUUGAAUAAAGAGGGUCCUAAGAUCGAACCUUGUGGGACUCCACAUGUCACGUUGGUUGAUUCUGAUACAAAGUCGCCAAUGGAAAAAAAAAAAGUACUUCCUAUUUUGUAGGUAGGACCUGAACCAAUUUAAGACUGUGCCGGAAAGCCCCACCCAGUUUUCUAACCUGUCCAGAAGUAAUGUAUGGUCUACAGUGUCGAAUGCAGCACUGAGGUCAAGUCGCAUUAGUAUUGAGGUUUUGCCAGAGUCUGUGUUAAGACGGAUGUUGUUUACAACUUUAAUAUUGGCGGUCAGUGCUGUGCAGUGGUCGAAAUCCUGAUUGGAAGGUAUCAUAGCAAGCAGUUGAUGCCAGGAAUUGAUUAAGUUGCUGGAGGACAACUUUCUCAAUGAUUGUACUCAUGAAGGGUAGAUUUGAUAUUGGUCUGUAGUUGUUAAUAAUAGAGGCAUCUAGGCUCCGCUUUUUUAAAAGGGGUUUAAUAACUGCAGUUUUCAAAGCUUUUGGGAAAUUGCCUGACUGGCGAGAGUUGUUAACUAUCUGCAAUAUGUCUACUGCUAGGCAGUCGGAAAACAUUCUCAAAGAGGUUGGUAGGUAAAGUAUCAAGGCAACAGGUGGAUGGCUUUAGUUGUGUCACAGUUUCCACAAGAUUUUGAGUCUAUAACAUUAAAGCAUGCCAUCCUUGUCUGAUGCCUUCAAUUUUAUCUGUAUAAAAAGCUGCAAACUCAUUGCAUUUCUGCGUAGAAUGGUGAUCAGGUGGAAUUUGUGUUGGGGGGGUUGG